rnacentral:rRNA from 1 species
AGCGAACGCUGGCGGCAGGCUUAACACAUGCAAGUCGAGCGGGCUCUUUCGGGUGUCAGCGGCGGACGGGUGAGUAACGCGUGGGAACGUGCCCUCUGGUUCGGAAUAACUCAGGGAAACUUGAGCUAAUACCGGAUACGCCCUUUUGGGGAAAGGCUUGCUGCCGGAGGAUCGGCCCGCGUCUGAUUAGCUAGUUGGUGAGGUAACGGCUCACCAAGGCGACGAUCAGUAGCUGGUCUGAGAGGAUGAUCAGCCACACUGGGACUGAGACACGGCCCAGACUCCUACGGGAGGCAGCAGUGGGGAAUAUUGGACAAUGGGCGCAAGCCUGAUCCAGCCAUGCCGCGUGAGUGAUCAAGGCCUUAGGGUUGUAAAGCUCUUUUAUCCGGGACGAUAAUGACGGUACCGGAGGAAUAAGCCCCGGCUAACUUCGUG